rnacentral:rRNA from 1 species
UACGAAGGGGGCGAGCGUUGUUCGGAAUCACUGGGCGUAAAGGGCGCGUAGGCGGCCCUCUUAGUCGCGUGUGAAAGCCCCGGGCUCAACCCGGGAACUGCGUCCGAUACUGGCAGGCUUGAAUUCGGGAGAGGGAUGUGGAAUUCCAGGUGUAGCGGUGAAAUGCGUAGAUAUCUGGAGGAACACCGGUGGCGAAAGGCGGCAUCCUGGACCGAUAUUGACGCUGAUGCGCGAAAGCCAGGGGGAGCAA